rnacentral:RNase_P_RNA from 1 species
GGGUAGGUAGAAAGUGGCUGCUCCGAAUUUUUCGGAGAGGAAAGUCCGAGCUCCGGAGGGCAGCGCGCUGGUUAAUUGCCAGACGUCACCACUAAUGGCGAUGGAGAGUGCAACAGAAAAUAAACCGCCUACAAUCUUUCAGAUAUUAGGCAAGGGUGAAAAGGUGGUGUAAGAGACCACCGGAACCAUAGUGAUAUGGUUCGCACUGCAAACCCCGCGUGGAGCAAGGUCAAAUAUGAGAGAAGGGGAUGCCCAACCCGUAAUAACUCUCGGGUUGACUGCUUGAUUCAGACGGUAACGUCUGAACUUAGAGGAAUAGCCACUCAGGUACGGAUAUUCGUACUGAGACAGAACUCGGCUUAUUCUACCUACCCCUUA